GAUGAACGCUGGCGGCGUGCCUAAUACAUGCAAGUCGAGCGAACAGACGAGGAGCUUGCUCCUCUGAUGUUAGCGGCGGACGGGUGAGUAACACGUGGGUAACCUACCUAUAAGACUGGGAUAACUUCGGGAAACCGGAGCUAAUACCGGAUAACAUGUGGAACCGCAUGGUUCAACAGUGAAAGACGGUCUUGCUGUCACUUAUAGAUGGAUCCGCGCCGCAUUAGCUAGUUGGUAAGGUAACGGCUUACCAAGGCAACGAUGCGUAGCCGACCUGAGAGGGUGAUCGGCCACACUGGAACUGAGACACGGUCCAGACUCCUACGGGAGGCAGCAGUAGGGAAUCUUCCGCAAUGGGCGAAAGCCUGACGGAGCAACGCCGCGUGAGUGAAGAAGGUUUUCGGAUCGUAAAACUCUGUUAUUAGGGAAGAACAAAUGUGUAAGUAACUAUGCACGUCUUGACGGUACCUAAUCAGAAAGCCACGGCUAACUACGUG
rnacentral:rRNA from 1 species